GCCAUAGCUCAGUGGCAAGGCAUCAGCUUUGCAUAUUGAAGGCUCUGGGUUCAGUCCCAGGCAUCUACA